UGUUGGGCAGCAGGAUGCUCAUCACGUGACCUCUCGAUCGCCGCCACCCUCACGGAGCAGAGUUUGAACCUGCAGAGGGAAGAAGGCCAUGGACAGGGUGGAGGGAGCAUUCCAACCUAAGGAAAUAUUAAUUAAUAUUGUCCAUCUUCCAGACACUGAGCUAAUCUCUUUCAUGUACAGUAUCUUUUAACCCUUAAAAAAUCCUAUAAGGAUGCCCAAGUGCCUAUCUGGGUCCCGGAGUGACUGAUUAGAAGAAUCAGUCAACAUGGCCCGCCCCGUCCU